GACGAACGCUGGCGGCGUGCUUAACACAUGCAAGUCGAACGCUGAAGCUCAGCUUUUGUUGGGUGGAUGAGUGGCGAACGGGUGAGUAACACGUGAGUAACCUGCCCCCUUCUUUGGGAUAACGCCCGGAAACGGGUGCUAAUACUGGAUAUUCACUGGUCUUCGCAUGGGGGUUGGUGGAAAGGGUUUUUCUGGUGGGGGAUGGGCUCGCGGCCUAUCAGCUUGUUGGUGGGGUGAUGGCCUACCAAGGCUUUGACGGGUAGCCGGCCUGAGAGGGUGACCGGUAACAUUGGGACUGAGAUACGGCCCAGAGUCGUACGGGAGGCAGCAGUGGGGAAUAUUGCACAAUGGGCGCAAGCCUGAUGCAGCGUCGCCGCGGGAGGGAUGGAGGCCGUAGGGUUGUGAACCUCUUUCGCUCAUGGUCAAGCCGCAACAAUGGUUGUGGUGAGGGUAGUGGGUAAAGAAGCGCCGGCUAACUACGUG
rnacentral:rRNA from 1 species